rnacentral:rRNA from 1 species
UACGGAGGAUCCGAGCGUUAUCCGGAUUUAUUGGGUUUAAAGGGUGCGCAGGCGGGAGAUUAAGUCGGCGGUGAAAUUUUGCAGCUCAACUGUAAAAGUGCCUUCGAUACUGGUUUCCUUGAGUGUGGAUGAAGUAGGCGGAAUUUAUGGUGUAGCGGUGAAAUGCUUAGAUAUCACGAGGAACUCCGAUUGCGCAGGCAGCUUACUAAACCACUACUGACGCUCAGGCACGAAGGCGUGGGGAUCAAACAGGAUUAGAUACCCCCGUAGU